rnacentral:rRNA from 1 species
GACGAACGCUGGCGGCGUGCUUAACACAUGCAAGUCGAACGGAAAGGCCCUGCUUUUGUGGGCUGCUCGAGUGGCGAACGGGUGAGUAACACGUGAGUAACCUGCCCUUGACUUUGGGAUAACUUCAGGAAACUUGGGCUAAUACCGGAUAGGAGCUCCUGCUGCAUGGUGGGGGUUGGUAAGUUUCGGCGGUUGGGGAUGGACUCGCCUCUUAUCAGCUUGGUGGUGGGGUAGUGGCUUACCAAGGCUUUGACCGGUAGGCGGCCUGAGAGGGUAGCCCGCUACGCUAGGACUGAGAUAAGACACAGACUAGAACGCGAGGCAGGAGAGGAGAAUAGUGCACAAGAGGCUGGAGGAUGGUCUAAUCACGCCGUGUGCGGGAAGACGGGAUUCGGGUUGUAAACCACUGUCGUCUUAGACGAGGUGUGAGUGACGGUAAUGGGUAAAGAAGCUCCGGCUAACUACGUG